CAACCUCUGGCGAUAAUCGUGAACGUUG
ncrna:unclassified sequences L19-Flavobacteria ribosomal protein leader